UACGUAGGUGGCAAGCGUUAUCCGGAAUUAUUGGGCGUAAAGAGCGCGCAGGUGGUUGAUUAAGUCUGAUGUGAAAGCCCACGGCUUAACCGUGGAGGGUCAUUGGAAACUGGUCGACUUGAGUGCAGAAGAGGGGAGUGGAAUUCCAUGUGUAGCGGUGAAAUGCGUAGAGAUAUGGAGGAACACCAGUGGCGAAGGCGGCUUCCUGGUCUGUAACUGACACUGAGGCGCGAAAGCGUGGGGAGCAAACAGGAUUAGAUACCCCGGUA
rnacentral:rRNA from 1 species